rnacentral:rRNA from 1 species
GUGGGGAAUAUUGGACAAUGGGCGCAAGCCUGAUCCAGCCAUGCCGCGUGAGUGAUGAAGGCCUUAGGGUUGUAAAGCUCUUUCAGUGGGGACGAUAAUGACGGUACCCACAGAAGAAGCCCCGGCUAACUUCGUGCCAGCAGCCGCGGUAAUACGAAGGGGGCUAGCGUUGUUCGGAUUUACUGGGCGUAAAGCGCACGUAGGCGGAGCGUUAAGUCGGGGGUGAAAUCCUGGAGCUCAACUCCAGAACUGCCUUCGAUACUGGCGAUCUUGAGUCCGGAAGAGGUGAGUGUAACUCCUAGUGUAGAGGUGGAAUUCGUAGAUAUUAGGAAGAACACCAGUGGCGAAGGCGGCUCACUGGUCCGGUACUGACGCUGAGGUGCGAAAGCGUGGGGAGCAAACAGGAUUAGAAACCCCGGUAGUCC